GAGCAAAUGAUGAGUUACUUGGCCAUUCCCCUUCAUGAUGAUGUUAUGGGUGAUGCAAGCUCAAGUUCAGAUGCU